rnacentral:rRNA from 1 species
UACCACGCGAGUGGAUGCCAAUCCCCAAAACCUCUCUCAGUUCGGACUGGAGUCUGCAACCCGACUCCACGAAGCUGGAUUCGCUAGUAAUCGCGCAUCAGCCACGGCGCGGUGAAUACGUUCCCGGGCCUUGUACACACCGCCCGUCAAGCCAUGGGAGCCGGGGUACCUGAAGUGCGUAACCGCGAGGAGCGCCCUAGGGUAAAACUGGUGACUGGGGCUAAGUCGUAACAAGGUAAC